rnacentral:rRNA from 1 species
AUAAACGCUGGCGGCGCACAUAAGACAUGCAAGUCGAACGGAAGUCGUUAUAUGGAUUUGAAAUGAACGGAGAACUUGUUCAAAGGGACUGGAUGGAGAAAUAUAACAAUGGCUUAGUGGCGGACUGGUGAGUAAUACGUAAGCAACCUGCCUAUUAGAGGGGAACAACAGUUAGAAAUGACUGCUAAUACCGCAUAUGCCAUAAGAAUCGCAUGGUUCAAGUGGGAAAGGAGUAAUCCGCUAAUAGAUGGGCUUACGGCUGAUUAGCUAGUUGGUGGGGUAACGGCCUACCAAGGCGACGAUCAGUAGCCGGACUGAGAGGUUCAACGGCCACAUUGGGACUGAGAUACGGCCCAGACUCCUACGGGAGGCAGCAGUCGGGAAUUUUGCGCAAUGGAGGAAACUCUGAACCGCAGUGACGCCGCGUGCAGGAAGUAAGGUUUUCGGAUUGUAAACUGCUUUAGACAGGGAAGAAAAAGGACAGUACCUGUAGAAUAAGCUCCGGCUAACUACGUGCCAGCCGCAGC